UAGCCGUAAACGAUACUCGCUAGGUGUCGGCCACGGUGCGACCGUUGUCGGUGCCGUAGGGAAGCCGUGAAGCGAGCCACCUGGGAAGUACGGCCGCAAGGCUGAAACUUAAAGGAAUUGGCGGGGGAGCACCACAACGGGUGGAGCUUGCGGUUUAAUUGGAUUCAACGCCGGAAAUCUUACCGGGACCGACAGCAACAUGAAGGCCAAGCUAAAGACUUUACCAGAAUCGCUGAGAGGAGGUGCAUGGCGUAGUCGUGU
rnacentral:rRNA from 1 species